UCUGCUCAGGACGAACGCUGGCGGCGUGCCUAAUACAUGCAAGUCGAACGCUUCUUUUUCCACCGGAGCUUGCUCCACCGGAAAAAGAGGAGUGGCGAACGGGUGAGUAACACGUGGGUAACCUGCCCAUCAGAAGGGGAUAACACUUGGAAACAGGUGCUAAUACCGUAUAACAAUCGAAACCGCAUGGUUUUGAUUUGAAAGGCGCUUUCGGGUGUCGCUGAUGGAUGGACCCGCGGUGCAUUAGCUAGUUGGUGAGGUAACGGCUCACCAAGGCCACGAUGCAUAGCCGACCUGAGAGGGUGAUCGGCCACAUUGGGACUGAGACACGGCCCAAACUCCUACGGGAGGCAGCAGUAGGGAAUCUUCGGCAAUGGACGAAAGUCUGACCGAGCAACGCCGCGUGAGUGAAGAAGGUUUUCGGAUCGUAAAACUCUGUUGUUAGAGAAGAACAAGGAUGAGAGUAACUGUUCAUCCCUUGACGGUAUCUAACCAGAAAGCCACGGCUAACUACGUGCCAGCAGCCGCGGUAAUACGUAGGUGGCAAGCGUUGUCCGGAUUUAUUGGGCGUAAAGCGAGCGCAGGCGGUUUCUUAAGUCUGAUGUGAAAGCCCCCGGCUCAACCGGGGAGGGUCAUUGGAAACUGGGAGACUUGAGUGCAGAAGAGGAGAGUGGAAUUCCAUGUGUAGCGGUGAAAUGCGUAGAUAUAUGGAGGAACACCAGUGGCGAAGGCGGCUCUCUGGUCUGUAACUGACGCUGAGGCUCGAAAGCGUGGGGAGCAAACAGGAUUAGAUACCCUGGUAGUCCACGCCGUAAACGAUGAGUGCUAAGUGUUGGAGGGUUUCCGCCCUUCAGUGCUGCAGCUAACGCAUUAAGCACUCCGCCUGG
rnacentral:rRNA from 1 species